GACGAACGCUGGCGGCGUGCUUAACACAUGCAAGUCGAACGGUAAGGCCCUUCGGGGUACACGAGUGGCGAACGGGUGAGUAACACGUGGGUGAUCUGCCCUGCACUUCGGGAUAAGCCUGGGAAACUGGGUCUAAUACCGGAUAGGACCCUGGGAUGCAUGUCCUGGGGUGGAAAGCUUUUGCGGUGUGGGGUGGGCCCGCGGCCUAUCAGCUUGUUGGUGGGGUGAUGGCCUACCAAGGCGACGACGGGUAGCCGGCCUGAGAGGGUGACCGGCCAGACGGGGACUGGGAUACGGCCCAGACGCCUACGGGGGGCAGCAGUGGGGAAUAUUGCACAAGGGGCGCAAGCCUGAUGCAGCGACGCCGCGUGAGGGAUGACGGCCUUCGGGUUGUAAACCUCUUUCAGCACCGACGAAGCGCAAGUGACGGUAGGUGCAGAAGAAGGACCGGCCAACUACGUGCCAGCCGCCGCAGUAA
rnacentral:rRNA from 1 species